rnacentral:rRNA from 1 species
GUGAGGAAUAUUGGGCAAUGGAGGCAACUCUGACCCAGCCAUGCCGCGUGAGGGAAUAAGGCCCUACGGGUCGUAAACCUCUUUUGCUUGGGGACAAGGACGGCGUCGGGAACGCCGUUUGCGGGUACCAGGCGAAUAAGCAUCGGCUAACUCCGUGCCAGCAGCCGCGGUAAUACGGAGGAUGCGAGCGUUAUCCGGAUUCAUUGGGUUUAAAGGGUGCGCAGGCGGCCUGUUAAGUCAGCGGUGAAAGUCAGGGGCCCAACCCCGGAAGUGCCGUUGAUACUGAUGGGCUUGAAUGCGGUCGAGGCGGGCGGAAUGUGGUGUGUAGCGGUGAAAUGCAUAGAUAUGCCACAGAACGCCGAUAGCGAAGGCAGCUCGCCAGGCCUGCAUUGACGCUCAGGCACGAAAGCGUGGGGAUCAAACAGG